rnacentral:sRNA from 1 species
GUUAUCCUUCGGGUUAGUUUUCGG